rnacentral:rRNA from 1 species
AGGUGUAGCGGUGAAAUGCGUAGAGAUCUGGAAGGAAAUACCGGUGGCGAAGGCGGCCCCCCUGGACGAAAGACUGACGCUCAGGUGCGAAAGCGUGGGGAGCAAACAGGAUUAGAUACCCCUGGUAGUCCACGCCGUAAAACGAUGUCGACUUGGAGGUUGUGCCCUUGAGGCGUGGCUUCCGGAGCUAACGCGUUAAGUCGACCGCCUGGGGAGUACGGCCGCAAAGGUUAAAACUCAAAUGAAUUGACGGGGGCCCGCACAAGCGGUGGAGCAUGUGGUUUAAUUCGAUGCAACGCGAAGAACCUUACCUGGUCUUGACAUCCACGGAAGUUUUCAGAGAUGAGAAUGUGCCUUCGGGAACCGUGAGACAGGUGCUGCAUGGCUGUCGUCAGCUCGUGUUGUGAAAUGUUGGGUUAAGUCCCGCAACGAGCGCAACCCUUAUCCUUUGUUGCCAGCGGUCCGGCCGGGAACUCAAAGGAGACUGCCAGUGAUAAACUGGAGGAAGGUGGGGAUGACGUCAAGUCAUCAUGGCCCUUACGACCAGGGCUACACACGUGCUACAAUGGCGCAUACAAAGAGAAGCGACCUCGCGAGAGCAAGCGGACCUCAUAAAGUGCGUCGUAGUCCGGAUUGGAGUCUGCAACUCGACUCCAUGAAGUCGGAAUCGCUUGUAAUCGUGGAUCAGAAUGCCACGGUGAAUACGUUCCCCUUCCUUUUCACACCGCCCGUCACACCAUGG